UACAGAGGGGGCAAGCGUUGUUCGGAAUUACUGGGCGUAAAGGGCGCGUAGGUGGCCUUCUAAGUUGAACGUGAAAUCCCUGGGCUCAACCCAGGAACUGCGUCCAAGACUGGGAGGCUUGAAUCCGGGAGAGGGAUGCGGAAUUCCAGGUGUAGCGGUGAAAUGCGUAGAUAUCAGGAGGAAUACCGAUGGCGAAGGCAGGUCUCUGGGCUGACACUGACGCUCAUGCACGAAAGCGUGGGGAGCAAACAGG
rnacentral:rRNA from 1 species